rnacentral:rRNA from 1 species
UUGGAGUCUGCAACCCGACUCCAUGAAGCUGGAUUCGCUAGUAAUCGCGCAUCAGCCACGGCGCGGUGAAUACGUUCCCGGGCCCUUGUACACACCGCCCGUCAAGCCAUGGAAGCCGGGAGUGCCUGAAGUGCGUGAGCGCAAGCAGCGCCCUAAGGUAAAACCGGUGACUGGGGCUAAGUCGUAACAAGGUAGC